UACGUAGGGGGCUAGCGUUGUCCGGAAUCAUUGGGCGUAAAGAGCGUGUAGGCGGUUCGGUAAGUCGGCUGUGAAAGUCCAGGGCUCAACCCUGGGAUGCCGGUCGAUACUGCCGGUCUAGAGUUCGGAAGAGGCGAGUGGAAUUCCCGGUGUAGCGGUGAAAUGCGCAGAUAUCGGGAGGAACACCUAUGGCGAAGGCAGCUCGCUGGGACGUUACUGACGCUGAGACGCGAAAGCGUGGGGAGCAAACAGG
rnacentral:rRNA from 1 species